AGCGGGCGCCUGGGUGUGCGCGCAGGAAGAUGGCUGAGCAGGUGCCGAAGUCUGUGCUCUUCGUGUGUCUGGGUAACAUCUGUCGGUCACCCAUUGCAGAAGCAGUUUUCAGAAAACUUGUAACUGAUCAAAAGCUUUCAGAUCAUUGGAGGAUAGACAGUGCAGUGACAUCCACGUAUGAAAUAGGAAACCCUCCUGAUUAUCGAGGGCAGAGUUGCAUGGAGAAGCAUGGUAUCCCCAUGAAUCACACUGCCCGGCAGGUUACCAAGGAAGAAUUUGCCACAUUUGAUUAUAUACUGUGUAUGGAUGAAAGCAAUCUGAGAGACUUGAAUAGAAAAAGUAAUCAAAUUAAAAACUGCAAAGCUAAAAUUGACCUACUUGGGAGCUAUGAUCCACAAAAUCAACUCAUUAUUGAAGACCCCUAUUAUGGGAAUGAGUCUGACUUUGAGACUGUUUACCAGCAGUGUGUGAGGUGCUGCAGAGCCUUCCUGGAGAAGGCCCGCUAAUGUCACGCCCGUUCUCCCCACAGCCCCCGGCUGGGCCCCACAGGCUCUGCUGUGAGGCCGCAACUGUUUCUUCAGUUGACCCUCGGUUUCUUACCUUAAAUAAUUGUAAAUGGAAAUCAGUUAUUGUAUCUGACAGACAAAUAAAU